rnacentral:lncRNA from 1 species
AGCCGCACAGGUGAGACUUGCAUCUAACAUCCAUGACUAACAACCUCGAUCCAAAGGAGGUGGGAGAGAUUCUUCCCUCAAUAAAAGAUCAGAACGUGGUCUAAUGAUCUAUAGAAAUAGGCUUAACAAACAUAUAAAUUCCAACUAAUGGCCUAUGAACUUAACCUUCAUAUAAAAGAGGUACGAAAGGGACUCUCAGAUAAGCAGACAAGCAAAACACAAGCAAC